GUCAUAUAUCAUCUGUCAUGUAUCAUGUUUUGAUUGGAUGCCAACUCCAUAAAAGAUAAAAUGAAUUAUUGUUUUUAUUGACCAAUCAAAACAUGACACAUGAUAGUCAUCAUCA
rnacentral:pre_miRNA from 1 species